rnacentral:rRNA from 1 species
GCAAGUCGAGGGGCAGCAGUACUUUUCGGAGUAGCUGGCGACCGGCGCACGGGUGCGUAACGCGUAUGCAAUCUACCCACAGCACAGGGAUAGCCCGUGGAAACAUGGAUUAAUACCUGAUAACACAGGGAGCUCACCUGAGCACCUUGUUAAAGUUUUGGCGGCAGUGGAUGAGCAUGCGUCCCAUUAGCUAGUUGGUAAGGUAACAGCUUACCAAGGCGAUGAUGGGUAGGGGUUCUGAGAGGAUGAUCCCCCACACUGGUACUGAGAUACGGACCAGGGGAGGCAGCAGUAGGGAAUAUUGGUCAAUGGACGCAAGUCUGAACCAGCCAUGCCGCGUGCAGGAAGACGGCCUUCUGGGUUGUAAACUGCUUUUUUCAGGGAAGAAAACACUCUUGCGAGAGGGAUUGCCGGUACCUGAGGAAUAAGCACCGGCUAACUCCGUGCCAGCAGCCGCGGUAAUACGGAGGGUGCAAGCGUUGUCCGGAUUUAUUGGGUUUAAAGGGUGCGUAGGCGGCCCGUUAAGUCAGUGGUGAAAGGUAUCAGCUUAACUGAUGAAGUGCCAUUGAAACUAACGGGCUUGAGUACAGACGAGGUAGGCGGAAUUUAUGGUGUAGCG